UACAGAGGGUGCAAGCGUUACUCGGAUUUACUGGGCGUAAAGCGUGCGUAGGCGGUUCAUUAAGUCGGUUGUGAAAUCCCUGGGCUUAACCUGGGAACUGCAGUCGAUACUGGUGGACUAGAGUACGGUAGAGGGUGGCGGAACUCCGGGUGUAGCGGUGAAAUGCGUAGAUAUCCGGAAGAACACCGAUGGCGAAGGCAACCACCUGGGCCUGUACUGACGCUGAGGUACGAAAGCGUGGGGAGCAAACAGG
rnacentral:rRNA from 1 species